GUGGUGGUGGUUCUCACUUGUUCUUUUUGGCUUAACCAGCCAAUUCAUUGUCAAGGAAAAUGUCAUGUUCCAGAAAAUCAAGGAAAUAUCAACUACAAGGUCAAAUUGGCUCAUUACUUUUGUCGUAGACUUGGAUCCUUUUGAAUUGUUUCUUAAUAAAAUAGAACAAGACUUGGGCAAAGCUUUUCUUGCUAUACAAAAAGUUCAC
rnacentral:lncRNA from 1 species